rnacentral:rRNA from 1 species
GAUGAACGCUGGCGGCGUGCCUAAUACAUGCAAGUCGAGCGAACGGACGAGAAGCUUGCUUCUCUGAUGUUAGCGGCGGACGGGUGAGUAACACGUGGAUAACCUACCUAUAAGACUGGGAUAACUUCGGGAAACCGGAGCUAAUACCGGAUAAUAUUUUGAACCGCAUGGUUCAAAAGUGAAAGACGGUCUUGCUGUCACUUAUAGAUGGAUCCGCGCUGCAUUAGCUAGUUGGUAAGGUAACGGCUUACCAAGGCAACGAUGCAUAGCCGACCUGAGAGGGUGAUCGGCCACACUGGAACUGAGACACGGUCCAGACGACUACGGGAGGCAGCAGUAGGGAAUCUUCCGCAAUGGGCGAAAGCCUGACGGAGCAACGCCGCGUGAGUGAUGAAGGUCUUCGGAUCGUAAAACUCUGUUAUUAGGGAAGAACAUAUGUGUAAGUAACUGUGCACAUCUUGACGGUACCUAAUCAGAAAGCCACGGCUAACUACGUG